AGUGAACGCUGGCGGCGUGCUUAACACAUGCAAGUCGAACGAGAACGGAAUAUAGCUUGCUAUAUUUGUCAGCUAAGUGGCGCACGGGUGAGUAAUGUAUAGAUAACCUGCCCUCAAGAAAGGAAUAACAGUUGGAAACGACUGCUAAUGCCCUAUACGCCUUUAAUGCAUAAGUAUGCAAGGGAAACGCUUUAGUGCUUAAGGAUGGGUCUGUAUGGUAUCAGCUUGUUGGUGAGGUAAUGGCUCACCAAGGCUAUGACGCCUAACUGGUUUGGGAGGAUGAUCAGUCACACUGGAACUGAGACACGGUCCAGACUCCUACGGGAGGCAGCAGUGGGGAAUAUUGCACAAUGGACGAAAGUCUGAUGCAGCAACGCCGCGUGGAGGAUGACACAUUUCGGUGCGUAAACUCCUUUUAUAUAGGAAGAUAAUGACGGUACUAUAUGAAUAAGCACCGGCUAACUCCGUGCCAGCCGCCGCGGUAA
rnacentral:rRNA from 1 species